rnacentral:SRP_RNA from 1 species
UCGCGCUAGGUGGGGAGCUAGCGGUUCCCUGGAACCCGCCGAUCCGCUCUAGCGGGGCCGAACGCCGUCCGAGGGGUUGGAAUCUCGGGGCCUGGGCUCGCGCGCGCAGCGUCGACGGUCAGGUUCCGCGCACUGGGAGCUUGUGAACCGCGUCAGAUCCGGAAGGAAGCAGCGCUAAGCAAUCUCUCCCAGGUGCCGCGGUUCUGCCUGACCCGAGCCAGCGACGGGAGCGCUUCCCGGGAGACCGCUUCGAAGCCGGAGCGCGC